GACGUAGGGGGCCAGCGUUGUUCGGAAUUACUGGGUGUAAAGGGUUCGUAGGCGGUGUGGCAAGUCGAGAGUGAAAUCUCUGGGCUCAACUCAGAGACUGCUUCCGAAACUGCUGUGCUGGAGUGUGGGAGAGGCGCGUGGAAUUGCAGGUGUAGCGGUGAAAUGCGUAGAUAUCGGAAGGAACACCAGUGGCGAAAGCGGCUUCCUGGUCCAGCACCGACGUCAGGCACGAAAGCGUGGGGAGCAAACAGGAUUAGAAACCCUGG
rnacentral:rRNA from 1 species